rnacentral:rRNA from 1 species
AUUGAACGCUGGCGGCAGGCUUAACACAUGCAAGUCGAGCGGGGGAGGUUGCUUCGGUAACUGACCUAGCGGCGGACGGGUGAGUAAUGCUGAGGAAUCUGCCUAUUAGUGGGGGACAACAUUCCGAAAGGGAUGCUAAUACCGCAAACGCCCUACGUGGGAACGCAGGGGCUCUGCGGACCUUGCGCUAAAAGAUGAGCCUAAGUCGGAUUAGAUAGUUGGCGGGGUAACGGCCCCCCAAGUCUACGAACAGUAGCUGAUGUGAGAGCAUGAUCAGCCACACGGGCACUGAGACACGGGCCCGACUCCUACGGGAGGCAGCAGUGUGGAAUAUUGGACAAUGGGGGGAACCCUGAUCCAGCCAUGCCGCGUGUGUGAAGAAGGCCUUAUGGUUGUAAAGCACUUUAAGCGAGGAGGAGGCUACUGAGACUAAUACUCUUGGAUAGUGGACGUUACUCGCAGAAUCAGCACCGGCUAACUCUGUGCCAGCCGCCGCAGUAACAC